UGUUUUAUUUAAUUGGGGCCCAGGGGCAAUAGCCCAGGUAAGCCAGCCCUUCCUAUGUCAGAAAAUAGCCAAGGCCUAUUGACCUUAUUCCUAUGUGUUUCUGGAUCAAUCAAUACAAUUUCUGAAUCCUUAAAAUGUACAUGUUGGUGUCUUGAAGUUUCCUAUGACCUAUAGGCCUAGGGAAAUGCAUUCAUUUUGCAAUGUAUUAGCCUAUUUCUUAGGUCUAUAGAAUAUUUACUACACAAGUGAAAUAUCAACAUCAGUCAUGUCGAUUGUAUAGGAUUCCAGCGCCUUGACAGAUGCACACACACCACUGUGGUGACACGUCCCCUAUAUGACUAUCUCUGUCCCCACGUUGUGAUUCCCCUCCCCCACUCCACUUUACCGCGCAGAGCCAGAGAGAGAAAAUCACUUUCAUCUGGAGAAGCUCGUCCGUUAACACGGGGCGGCCCAUCUGCAGCUCCCCGCUGUUCCUAAAAGAAAGAUUAAGGAUUUGAGUUGGCCUGACGGAGAGAUCUUCCAGGCGGCUCCGGCCCAUGGAGGAUGCAGAGCAUCACAUCAGAUCAAACAUUGAUAAACCAGUACUUUACCAGCGUUUCAUCAAUAUCUUUAAAGGACGGGGAGUUUUUGCCACUGAAUUCAUAUCCAAAGGAGACUUUGUUGUGGAGUACCGAGGUGAACUGCUUACACAACAGGAGGGCGAGGUCCGAGCUGAUCAGUACAAUGAUUCUGCAAAGGUGUUUCUUUUCCAUUUCCAAUGGAAAGGAAGAACAUGGUGCAUUGAUGCAUCUGAAGAAGACUCCUGCCUUGGGAGACUCGUUAAUGAUGAUCACUAAAGACUCAAUCUCAAAAUGAAGGCCAUACAAGCAAACGAUGAGCCACACUUGUGCCUCUUCGCGACUCGAGAUAUUGCAGCUGGCGAAGAGUUGACUUAUAGUUACGGUGAUUCAGACUGGCCAUGGAGAACACAGGUCAUCAAAACUGAAUUGUCAUCCAGCCCAAAACCUGGUAAGAACUUUACUAAAGUCAUAGAUCAAUAUGAGUUUAUUUUUUUCUAUUAUCACAUUUACUAUUUCACUUUCACAAAUACACAUUUAUAGUCUAACAUCAAUUGCACUGGAAUGCAGUGCACUUGUUACAUACAUAAAAAGUUAACUAAAUAUACAAUACAUUCAAAUAUAUGAAAUAAAAACAUUAGCAAUAAGAACUCAGUAGUUAGGCUCUUGUGGGCUCAUUUAGUAGCCCAACUCAUGAGGGAUUUGCUCUUCUCCUGAAAAGUUCAGUCCUGAAU